rnacentral:misc_RNA from 1 species
AAUUCUCAACCAUUCUUUGAUCGAUUUCGAGGAAUGGCUUGGAUCUUGGGAGUUGCCGGCCCCCUCGUGGGGUCGACUCUCCUUAAAAGCAUUAGCGAAAGGUGGCAAGCCCCCCUGCAUGCACGGCCUUCGACGUGAUAAUGAUCGUCGUGGCUGGAGUGCGAUCGGGUUUAGUCCGUCCUUUGCUUCUAAACGGGAUGGUAAUCGGGGGGACUUUGCUUCGGCUCAGGAACCUUAUUACUUCUUUGAC